rnacentral:rRNA from 1 species
GACGAACGCUGGCGGCGUGCCUAAUACAUGCAAGUAGAACGCUGAAGGAGGAGCUUGCUUCUCUGGAUGAGUUGCGAACGGGUGAGUAACGCGUAGGUAACCUGCCUGGUAGCGGGGGAUAACUAUUGGAAACGAUAGCUAAUACCGCAUAAGAGUAGAUGUUGCAUGACAUUUGCUUAAAAGGUGCAAUUGCAUCACUACCAGAUGGACCUGCGUUGUAUUAGCUAGUUGGUGGGGUAACGGCUCACCAAGGCGACGAUACAUAGCCGACCUGAGAGGGUGAUCGGCCACACUGGGACUGAGACACGGCCCAGACGCCUACGGGAGGCAGCAGUAGGGAAUCUUCGGCAAUGGACGGAAGUCUGACCGAGCAACGCCGCGUGAGUGAAGAAGGUUUUCGGAUCGUAAAGCUCUGUUGUAGGAGAAGAACGAGUGUGAGAGUGGAAAGUUCACACUGUGACGGUAUCUUACCAGAAAGGGACGGCUAACUACGUG